AUUGAACGCUGGCGGCAUGCCUUACACAUGCAAGUCGAACGGCAGCGCGGACUUCGGUCUGGCGGCGAGUGGCGAACGGGUGAGUAAUACAUCGGAACGUACCCUGUUGUGGGGGAUAACUAGUCGAAAGAUUAGCUAAUACCGCAUACGACCUGAGGGUGAAAGUGGGGGAUCGCAAGGCCUCACGCAGCAGGAGCGGCCGAUGUCUGAUUAGCUAGUUGGUGGGGUAAAGGCCCACCAAGGCGACGAUCAGUAGCUGGUCUGAGAGGACGGUCAGCCACACUGGGACUGAGACACGGCCCAGACUCCUACGGGAGGCAGCAGUGGGGAAUUUUGGACAAUGGGGGCAACCCUGAUCCAGCAAUGCCGCGUGUGUGAAGAAGGCCUUCGGGUUGUAAAGCACUUUUGUCCGGAAAGAAAUCGCGCUGGUUAAUACCUGGCGUGGAUGACGGUACCGGAAGAAUAAGCACCGGCUAACUACGUG
rnacentral:rRNA from 1 species